CCCUGUACCUGAGCCAACGAGCAAACCCAUUCCCGCCCCCACCAAAAGUCCUGUACCUGAGCCAACGAGUAAACCCAUCCCCGCUCCCACC
rnacentral:ribozyme from 1 species